rnacentral:rRNA from 1 species
AGGAUCAACGCUGGCGGCGUGCCUAACGCAUGUAAGUCGAACGCAGGGUCUUCGGACCCUGAGUGGCGAACGGCUGAGGAACACGUACGAACCUGCCCGCUUGUGGGGAAUAACUCACCGAAAGGUGAGCUAAGACCGCGUACGCUCGGCGAUGAGCCGAGGAAAGCCGCAAGGCGCAGGCGGAGGGGCGUGCGGCCCAUCAGGUUGUUGGUGGGGUAUCGGCCUACCAAGCCAAUGACGGGUAGCUGGUCUGUGAGGACGAUCAGCCAGACUGGGACUGCGAAACGGCCCAGACACCUAUGGGUGGCAGCAGCGAGGAAUCUCCACAAUGGGCGCAAGCCCGAUGGAGCAACGCCGCGUGGAGGACGACGGCCUUCGGGUUGUAAACCGUCCGUUUCGGGAGGGAUGAGUAGGACAGUACCUCCAAAAGAGCCCCGGCUAACUCUGUGCCAGCAGCCGC